AAAUGGUAUUAACAUCAUCCAGUUAGCUAUCAAUCGCCGCCGCUUACCAAUUGUCUGGCUUGAACUGAGUUGUGUAAGUUGGUGGAUGAAUGUUUUAAACAACCCCACAAGGUAACACAAGUUCACAGACACGGUCGUACGCGAACCGCCUCGCCGGAACGCGGCGAGCAAGAUACGGCGAAGGGCACCGAGGUUUUGUGUAAAUGUUUACUUUUGCAUUCAGCGAAAAGGCAGGAUAAUUAGAGUGACAUUUAGCAUAGCUGUGCGGAUGCGGGCUUGUCUAGCACCGUUCCUCCCUAGCCUUCCGUUCGGUGGUACAUCAUUAAAAAUCAACAUGGCAUCAAUCUUGGGCCAGGGGCGCGAACCGGAGGGCAGAGUAAACGAUCGUCAGUGCUGCUGUAAGUGGCAGGCAGCGGGGGAGUGGGAGGAGAGACCUGGACCGGUCUCCCCUUUCUCAGCAUGAAUACAAGGACAAACGCUGAGACGUUUGCUCCUCCCGGAGCGUUGGCUGUUAACGUUGUCAGAGGGAUUAUGAAGUAACUCCUUCGCUUUUGGGCCAACCGUGGGCCAGCCCAGAUCGAUACGGUAAGCAAAAGCCCUUUGAGAAGCAGAGCCCUCAAGCUAUGAUAAAGGCAUCCAAGAAGGC